rnacentral:rRNA from 1 species
UAGGGAAUCUUCCGCAAUGGGCGAAAGCCUGACGGAGCAACGCCGCGUGAGUGAUGAAGGUCUUCGGAUCGUAAAACUCUGUUAUUAGGGAAGAACAAAUGUGUAAGUAACUAUGCACGUCUUGACGGUACCUAAUCAGAAAGCCACGGCUAACUACGUGCCAGCAGCCGCGGUAAUACGUAGGUGGCAAGCGUUAUCCGGAAUUAUUGGGCGUAAAGCGCGCGUAGGCGGUUUUUUAAGUCUGAUGUGAAAGCCCACGGCUCAACCGUGGAGGGUCAUUGGAAGCUGGAGAACUUGAGUGCAGAAGAGGAAAGUGGAAUUCCAUGUGUAGCGGUGAAAUGCGCAGGGAUAUGGAGGAACACCAGUGGCGAAGGCGACUUUCUGGUCUGUAACUGACGCUGAUGUGCGAAAGCGUGGGGAUCAAACAGG